UUCAAGAUUAAGCCAUGCAUGUCUAAGUAUAAGCAAUUAUACCGUGAAACUGCGAAUGGCUCAUUAAAUCAGUUAUCGUUUAUUUGAUAGUACCUUACUACUUGGAUAACCGUGGUAAUUCUAGAGCUAAUACAUGCUUAAAACCUCGACUUCGGGAGGGGUGUAUUUAUUAGAUAAAAAACCAACGCCCUUCGGGGCUUCUUGGUGAUUCAUGAUAACUUUACGGAUCGCAUGGCCUUGCGCCGGCGACGGUUCAUUCAAAUUUCUGCCCUAUCAACUUUCGAUGGUAAGGUAUUGGCUUACCAUGGUUUCAACGGGUAACGGGGAAUUAGGGUUCGAUUCCGGAGAGGGAGCCUGAGAAACGGCUACCACAUCCAAGGAAGGCAGCAGGCGCGCAAAUUACCCAAUCCCGACACGGGGAGGUAGUGACAAUAAAUACUGAUACAGGGCUCUUUUGGGUCUUGUAAUUGGAAUGAGUACAAUUUAAACCUCUUAACGAGGAACAAUUGGAGGGCAAGUCUGGUGCCAGCAGCCGCGGUAAUUCCAGCUCCAAUAGCGUAUAUUAAAGUUGUUGCAGUUAAAAAGCUCGUAGUUGAAACUUGGGUCUGGCUGGCAGGUCCGCCUCACCGCGUGUACUUGUCCGGCCGGGCCUUCCUUCUGGAGAACCUCAUGCCCUUUACUGGGCGUGUUGGGGACCAGGACUUUUACUUUGAAAAAAUUAGAGUGUUCAAAGCAGGCCUUUGCUCGAAUACGUUAGCAUGGAAUAAUAGAAUAGGACGUGCGGUCCUAUUUUGUUGGUUUCUAGGACCGCCGUAAUGAUUAAUAGGGACAGUCGGGGGCAUCAGUAUUCAAUUGUCAGAGGUGAAAUUCUUGGAUUUAUUGAAGACUAACUACUGCGAAAGCAUUUGCCAAGGAUGUUUUCAUUAAUCAGUGAACGAAAGUUAGGGGAUCGAAGACGAUCAGAUACCGUCGUAGUCUUAACCGUAAACUAUGCCGACUAGGGAUCGGGCGAUGUUCUUUUUCUGACUCGCUCGGCACCUUACGAGAAAUCAAAGUUUUUGGGUUCUGGGGGGAAUAUGGUCGCAAGGCUGAAACUUAAGAAAAUUUAAGGGAGAAU
rnacentral:rRNA from 1 species